GGCGGGAUUUGAACCGGGAACCUUCCGCAAUGAAACCAAGCGCGCUAACCACUUGGCCACCACAAAAAACAAACAAAAAAAAACAAAAAAAAAACGCAUUUACAAAAUAAAGGCAUGAACAGCAUUGUGUAGUAACAUGUUUGUAUAAACAUUUUAACAAAUGUACAGUGACAUCAUCUUGCCACAGAGAGCCGGUUUAACCAAUCGGCUCCCUGCCACAAAGAAAUAUGUCAAACAGUGUGUGUAUGUGUGCGUGUGAGAGGUUAGGGAGCGUUGUCAGUGUCCCCAAUUGUCCAGUGUGUAAAAACAAAAUAAAACAGAAACCAGAAGGUUGACGUGUGUUCAUUUUUCCUCACGACAUUAAACGAGACGAGUGAAAAGACCAAACCAAACGGUGAUUUGUGCGUUUCAAGGACGUGGAAGCAGAGGGCAGCAGUGAGAUAACCUUGCAAAUGGAAUGCAAGUCACAAAUUGGUGAAAGGGGGAGGGGCCAUGUUGGAGUGAGUCUGAUGUUGCUUCAUUGAUGUCAUGGGAAAACAGAUGUAAAUAUUAACGUCCUGCUAAUUAAACAUUAAACCAACAGCAGUGAUGUUCACGUUAAUCAAAGCAUAGUGAAAGAUUUCACAGAUCAAAAUGUUUAAAAACGUCACAGGAAGUCGGCGUUCAGUCUGAUGCGCUCAAUAUUGGUGCUUUUUGACCAAUUUAUUAAUGGAAUUUAAAAUUUCUUCACCACAGUUGUUUGUGUUUCAAUCUAAAUUAUUAAAUUAGUGCAAUAACAGAUUUAAAAAAAAAAAUGUGUUGAUGCAAGGUUUUGAUGGAAAAAAGCACUGUCUUGUUUAUUUAACCGUUUAAACCUCAGCAACGUUAAAAGAUUAUUGUCUUAACACUGGUGCUACCUGCAGCCGCUAUGGCAUCAUGCACGCACAUGGAAGUUUGGAUGUUCAGAGUUAAAACGUCAGUAAACAGGUUUUAAAAUCCCAUGACAUAAAUGCAGCCUGAUAUGUGAAGAGGUCUAGAUUGAUUUAGAGGAAUCCUGUUUGCUGAUGAGGACUUCUAGGAGGCGGAGUUUGGCUUUGAUCCUCUUGUACUCCCGGUACUCCUCCAUCAUUGGCACACGGUCCUCCUUCUGGACGUUUCUGCAACAGAAAAA